CCUACGGGAGGCAGCAGUAGGGGAUAUUGCUCAAUGGGGGAAACCCUGAUGCAGCAACGCCGCGUGGGGGAUGAAGUUUUUCGGAUUGUAAACUCCUUUUGUUAGAGAAGAUAAUGACGGUAUCUAACGAAUAAGCACCGGCUAACUCCGUGCCAGCAGCCGCGGUAAUACGGAGGGUGCAAGCGUUACACGGAAUCACUGGGCGUAAAGAGCGCGUAGGCGGGAUAGCAAGUCAGAUGUGAAAGCCUAGGGCUCAACCAUAGAACUGCACUUGAAACUGUUAGUCUAGAGUAUGGGAGAGGUAGGUGGAAUUCUUGGUGUAGGGGUAAAAUGCGUAGAGAUCAAGAGGAAGACUCGUGGCGAAGGCGACCUGCUGGAACAUAACUGACGCUGAGGCGCGAAAGCGUGGGGAGCAAACAGGAUUAGAUACCCCUGUAGUC
rnacentral:rRNA from 1 species